rnacentral:ncRNA from 1 species
UUUAACAUUUUAUUAACAUUUGGUUUACGAGGGUAAAAUAAACUGUGUGAAUUCAGGGGAACUCUCACAAGAGACAAUCCUGAGCCAAGCUUACCGAGGAAUCGGUUUGAAGGUGCAACGACUAGGGUACACGAUCCAGAACGGAUUAUGAAACCCGUACAUCUAAGUAGAUGGAAGCGCACAGCACCCUUCAUGGGUGAAGAUAUAGUCUAAUCUAUAUGGCGACAUAUAG